AACGAACGCUGGCGGCAUGCCUAACACAUGCAAGUCGAACGGUGCCUUCGGGCACAGUGGCGCACGGGUGAGUAACACGUGGGAACCUGCCUUUCGGUUCGGAACAACGUCUGGAAACGGACGCUAACGCCGGAUACGCCCAUCCAGCGAUGGAUGGGGAAAGUUUACGCCGAGAGAGGGGCCCGCGCCGGAUUAGGUAGUUGGUGGGGUAACGGCCUACCAAGCCGACGAUCCGUAGCUGGUCUGAGAGGAUGAUCAGCCACACUGGGACUGAGACACGGCCCAGACUCCUACGGGAGGCAGCAGUGGGGAAUAUUGGACAAUGGGCGCAAGCCUGAUCCAGCAAUGCCGCGUGAGUGAUGAAGGCCUUAGGGUUGUAAAGCUCUUUCGCACGCGACGAUGAUGACGGUAGCGUGAGAAGAAGCCCCGGCUAACUUCGUG
rnacentral:rRNA from 1 species